UACGUAGGGCGCAAGCGUUAUCCGGAAUUAUUGGGCGUAAAGAGCUCGUAGGCGGUUUGUCGCGUCUGCCGUGAAAGUCCGGGGGCUCAACUCCGGAUCUGCGGUGGGUACGGGGCAGACUAGAGUGAUGUAGGGGGAGACUGGAAUUCCUGGUGUAGCGGUGAAAUGCGCAGAUAUCAGGAGGAACACCGAUGGCGAAGGCAGGUCUCUGGGCAUUAACUGACGCUGAGGAGCGAAAGCGUGGGGAGCGAACAGG
rnacentral:rRNA from 1 species